rnacentral:rRNA from 1 species
GUGAGGAAUAUUGGUCAAUGGGCGAGAGCCUGAACCAGCCAAGUCGCGUGAAGGAUGAAGGUUUUAUGAAUUGUAAACUUCUUUUGCAGGGGAAUAAAGUACGGUACGUGUACCGUUUUGUAUGUACUCUGCGAAUAAGGAUCGGCUAACUCCGUGCCAGCAGCCGCGGUAAUACGGAGGAUCCAAGCGUUAUCCGGAUUUAUUGGGUUUAAAGGGUGCGCAGGCGGGUUGAUAAGUCAGCGGUGAAAGUUUGCAGCUUAACUGUAAAAUUGCCGUUGAAACUGUCGAUCUUGAGUGCAAAUGAGGUAAGCGGAAUGUGUUGUGUAGCGGUGAAAUGCUUAGAUAUAACACAGAACACCGAUUGCGAAGGCAGCUUACUGGGAUGCAACUGACGCUCAUGCACGAAAGCGUGGGGAUCAAACAGGAUUAGAUACCCGGGUAGUCC